UAGAAGUCGUAACAAGGUCUCCGUUGGUGAACCAGCGGAGGGAUCAUUACCGAGUUUACAACUCCCAAACCCAAUGUGAACGUUACCAAACUGUUGCCUCGGCGGGAUCUCUGCCCCGGGUGCGUCGCAGCCCCGGACCAAGGCGCCCGCCGGAGGACCAACCAAAACUCUUAUUGUAUACCCCCUCGCGGGUUUUUUUUAUAAUCUGAGCCUUCUCGGCGCCUCUCGUAGGCGUUUCGAAAAUGAAUCAAAACUUUCAACAACGGAUCUCUUGGUUCUGGCAUCGAUGAAGAACGCAGCGAAAUGCGAUAAGUAAUGUGAAUUGCAGAAUUCAGUGAAUCAUCGAAUCUUUGAACGCACAUUGCGCCCGCCAGUAUUCUGGCGGGCAUGCCUGUCCGAGCGUCAUUUCAACCCUCGAACCCCUCCGGGGGGUCGGCGUUGGGGAUCGGCCCUGCCUUGGCGGUGGCCGUCUCCGAAAUACAGUGGCGGUCUCGCCGCAGCCUCUCCUGCGCAGUAGUUUGCACACUCGCAUCGGGAGCGCGGCGCGUCCACAGCCGUUAAACACCCAACUUCUGAAAUGUUGACCUCGGAUCAGGUAGGAAUACCCGCUGAACUUAAGCAUAUCAAUAAGCG
rnacentral:rRNA from 1 species